UGGUUUGAACUACUUCUCAGAUGGGAUGGUAGAAUAUGUUACUGGCAAAUUAAUCACUUGGUUUUCUAGCCCCAAGGUAUUCUUUGACGGUGUUAUGAAAGUCUUGUUGCCAGACACCCUGGUUUUAGUGUUAAGCAAGAUUCAAAACAUCAGUUUUAAAAAGGCGUUGACCCUAACUUUAGAUGGAGAAAGCUUCGCAAGUGCUUUAUCUGUAGAAGAAAAUGAAGAUAAUUCAUCCCUUGUGUCACUUACUACAACUGAAAAACAGUCCAUGUCAGAAACAACAAAUGCAACACCGGUGCACUGCCCAAGCUCCCCAGACGUACUAAUUGGAAAAGACGGGAUUGACUUUGAUUCCCCGAUCGUUGUUAGUAAGGGAAUUGAGCCAAAGACAAAUCGCAUAAAAUCAAAAGACGAAGAGAGAAAAAGGAAAAAAAGAAAAGCUGAGGAGGAGAUUGAGGAUCUAAGAAAACGGUUGCGUAGGGCUGAAAGGGCGGCAGAGAAGGAGUUUAUGGACGUAAGCAGCGAAAAAGAAAUUUGUCACGAGGAAGCAGAAGGUGAGGAAAGGGUGAAGAAUGACCUUAAGUAUAAGGAAAAGAAACUUAAGGAAAAAAGAAAAAGGGAAAGGUUGAGAAAAAAAGUUAGAGCAAAUUUAGAAUUGUACUUGCCUUCACACGAUACCGUCAAGCCAAGUCAUGUUAAGAAGAAGAGAAAGUUUGAAAUGAAAUGUAUUGAGUGCGGUGAGGUCAUGAAAAGCGAUAGUUUGGCUGGUCAUUUAGUUACUAUACAUAAGUAUAGCAGUGACACAGCUCGCAUGAAAGAAAGUGAACUCAGAGUAAUGUUUUUAUGGGCCUCAAAAGAAAAGCAUGGGAGUGAGAAGCCUUUGCCAUGUGUGAUCUGCAAUAAAUGGCAUAUGCGGCUAAGAAACCAUUUAAGGUAUAAGCACAAGGAUUUGCAGAAUGAAGACAUCAAUAAAAUUGUGGAAAGUGCAAGGAAAGAGUACUGGUGCACAGCUAAACUUGCUGAAACCGCGAAGAAAGGAGGAGUAAAACAUUUAGAACCUGAAAAUGAUGAGAUCAGCAAAAGAAGCAAAGACCGAUUUCAGGCCAAUUUAUAUAAAGGACCAGCUGCCUCUUAUGCUCCGAAAAAUUCUUUUAUUUUGACAGAAUUCGAUAGGCAAUUAUGGAAUUUAAAGGAAAAAGACUUUUUUAAUUUUUAUUAUAAAGACCAAGCAUUUCUGAUGAAGGCCUUCGAAGAAGAUUUAGUGGCAAAUGGUAGUUCAGAACGGCAAGCAAAACAACAUUGCCAAUAUGUUGAAUACAUAUGGGAUAUAGUUGACCCCAGUAGAACAAUGUUCCCUCUUCAUGCAUUUUCUAACCCAAUUUGUAUUGAGGACAACUACCAUCGAUUGUCUCUGGAACUUGUUGGAAAAGGAGGGGUUGAGGCAAAUACAUUGCGCACUAGAUUUUCUUCCUUGCGGCAUUUUCUGAAGUUUCUGAGACGUCGUCAUAUCUAUGCAGGCCUUACAAGAGAGCAUUUUCGUCUUCUGGAGGAAUCAAUCGAAGACUGGAAUAUUAGAUUACGCCCUCUUAUAAAGCAAAGGAAGGUCAAUCUGAGACGUUUGAAGACACGGCACUUGUUAACGGUUGAGCACAUGAUAAAGUAUGGACGCUCACCAUUUACGCAAGAUAUUGUUGCGAAGCUCAACAAUUAUAGUACACGUGGCAAAAGCAAGUAUACCAUUGGCUUUUGUUUGAAAGUACGUGACUACGUAAUGACCAAUAUUUGUAUUAUGAAUGGUUUAAGAGCCUCGAAUCUCAUAGAAUUGCUAGUGAGUGAUGUGAAGGAGGCCAGUCGUCACGAUGAUUAUCCUGGACACUGGGUAAUCAUCAACUCUAAUUACAAGACGUCGACGAUAUAUGGGGAGAAGGUUAUUGCUAUACCAGAUGCGAUCUUUAAUCAUCUGAAAAUAUACAUGGACCAUUUACGUCCUUUGUUUGAAAAUGCAUCAUCAAAAUAUCUAUUUUUGCCGUCAUCAAAUGAAGAUAAAAUGUCUCACGGUGUUGUUGGCAGUGCUUUAACAAGCAGCUUUAAAGAUGCCGAAGUUUUUAGCGAGAAAGAAUAUCAACGAGUUUGUCCAACCAGAAUUCGAUGUGCAUGCGCAACGUUUGCAUGUAACCUUGAAGGCAUGGACAUUGGAUUCUUCGCUAAGAACUUCAUGAAAAACAAAGAGGAAACAACACAGAGGCAUUACAAUCUGCAUUCAAAUGUAAAGCAUGCCUUGAGUCUUGCAAUGAUGGUCGGCGAUGGGUUUCAAGUAGGAGGUGAACGUAUCACCAUUAAACAAAGUGAAAGAGAAGAUUUGACAAAUCUACUCUUAAAAAAAUCCCGACCUUCAGAACUGCCUUCAAAAGAAAAAGUGCUAGAGUGGAUAAAGUUGAGAAACUCUGACUUGACAGCAAUGGAAAUGAACGCCAUUGACCAGAUAUUGGAAGAGCUGUCCGACCCAUCCACAAUAUCUGCAGAAAAAACAGCGAGUUCGUUCUAUGGCGAUUGUCUUGAAAAUGAAAAUGAUGGCAAUGUUGAGGAUGGCGGUGGAAUUGGUGAUGAUGAAGUGAGAAAGGUAAGUGUGAUCAACUUUCUUGGUUUGGUUGAGAAUGGCAAUCUUAAAGAAGUAAACAAACUGUAGCCUUCAAGAUCUAUUUACGCAUACAUCUUUGUUUAUUAGAUCGAAAAUUUCUGUCCACCUACACCUAGUAUAAAAAGCAGUAAAUCUAUAUGUAGAGAACAAGUUAAAGUUACUGAAAGUACAAUGAAAACAAGGUCGACGAUAAGUAUGGAGAAUACAGCUUCGGUUUUGGAAUAUUUUCAACCAAAAGUUUUAAGAAAGGGGAAUUCCUUCUUCAGUACAGAGGGCAGUUACUCUCCAAAGACGAAGCUGAGAAGAACGAAAUGGGAUACGAAGAGGAUGGUUUCGGCUGUUUUCUCUACUUUUUUGAUCAUAAAAAGAACGAGAGAAAAGAAAC